rnacentral:tRNA from 1 species
GCCCUCGUGGCGGAAUUGGUAGACGCAACGGACUUAAAAUCCGUGGGGCUAUUUGCCCUUGCCGGUUCAAGUCCGGCCGAGGGCACCA